UGGCGUAGGUGGUGGUUUAAGUCUGUUGUGAAAGCCCUGGGCUCAACCUGGGAAUUGCAGUGGAUACUGGGCGACUAGAGUGUGGUAGAGGGUAGYGGAAUUCCUGGUGUAGCAGUGAAAUGCGUAGAGAUCAGGAGGAACAUCCAUGGCGAAGGCAGCUACCUGGACCAACACUGACACUGAGGCACGAAAGCGUGGGGAGCAAACAGGAUUAGAUACCCUGGUAGUCCACGCCCUAAACGAUGCGAACUGGAA
rnacentral:rRNA from 1 species